CUCGGACUUUCUUUUAGGAUCUUUACGUCCCGACACUCGACCUUGCUCCACUUGCUUUGCAUCUGCCCAUUCUGUCGCUCGACUCCUGCACCCGGUUUCUACACUUUGCAUGUGCAUGCAGUUUUUUCCUAACCCAUACAAAUCUCUCUUGUCUAGCAACUAGUCAACAAAUAAAUGCACAUUAUUUCAAGGCCAUGUCCAGCCUGACUUGGAUCAUCUUGAUAAUGAAGACUAUUUAAAUUCCCAAUAAAUUGUAUCUUUACGAUUUUUAAAAUAAGUAAAUACACGAGUUAGUGAUAAAUUUUACAUUUGAAUUAUCGAUCACCUUAAUACAACAAUGUUGAGCCACAAAUAGUUAUUUUAGCGAGGAAAACAUUGCUGACAUCGGUGCCUGAGUUUGAAUGCUUACUUAUUACACAAAUCCAUCCAUCUGCUGUUUGCAUAAGAAGACAGUUCGUCCAGGAAUUUAAACAAAUUCAAACAUUUAAACGUCACUCGACAGCUAGCCUUACGUGCAUUAUACUAAACAAUGGAAACUGUGGAAAUGGAACCCAUUGUUCCGUCCGCCAACAUCCCACCCACAUUUUCCAAAGAAGACGUCUCUCUCUUUAUGAGCAUUACGUCACAAAUUUCACAAAAUGGAAGAAACCCCAUUGAAACGCAAUGUCCUUACUGCCACACCCCAAUAACGACGGAACUCGUCAUAACAGAAAAUGAAGCAGCGUCUUCUGACAGGUCAACUGGCACAACGUGUAUCUGCAUUAUUGUCACCGUGCCUGUAAUCCCGGCCUUGAUAUUUGUCGCAUGGAGGACUGGACAAUGGCUGGCCGUUUUGGUGAUGGGGGCAGUGUUGUUCUCAUUCUUCGCCUUCAUUUUAUGGUGUCAAUCCUGGUGUCAAAAAAGUGGUCAUCAUUUCCACGACGUGACGCAUUAUUGUCCAAAUUGCAAAGAGAAAUUGGGAGUCAGUGACGGACAAAAGGAGUGGAGAGAGUACGCGAGAAAGAAAUAGAAUGGGUUGGAUUUUCAAUUUUACCAAUGUUUACCAAUGAUUAUUAUGUGUUACCCUCGCUGGGCAGGUUACUUGUAAUCGGAUUAAAAAUGUAUUUAUGUACAUAAUCUGAUUUCUUUGUGUAUAAUCUGAAAUUUAAAUUAUGAACAGAGAAAAUUUUAUUAUAAUUUUGUUUAAUUAUUUACUACUGACUAUAUAAAUACAUAAAGGUUAUUCAAGGGAAACAUAAAUACUUUCCAAGCCACUAGCUUUCCAAGUUUCGAAGCUACUCAAAACUAGAUAUUUGGGCAGCUCUUUUUUUAAAUUCUAGAUAUGUACUUAUGCACUAAGCAUGUUUGUAUGAAUAUUAUCUACAUGACGUAUGUACUUGAUAUGUGUCGUCUGCUUGUACAUAUGUCCUACCUAUUUCAGUUUCUAAUAAAAAAUAUUGCAUAAAACCAGA